CCCACCGCCGCGGCGCUUGGCCUGGCAGCGGCCGGGCGGUGGCGCAGGAAAGCGGCAAGGCAGCACUGCACAAUUGUUCUGGUGGCACUGCUGGCUGGGAGACCGGCUGGGGCCGCCAGAGCUGGGUGCUGCUGGAGCGAGAGGUGCCAGCGGAGGGUCGCAGCUCCAGGAGGACUCUCGAAAGGAGCCAUGGAGUACUAUCUUGCUGCUGGCGCCCGAAAUAUAGAUGGAGUGCUGAGCGCAAAGGAGAAUAGGGGUGAGCUGUGCAAGAAGGCUAUUGAGAUGGUGGCCUGAAUGCCCAUGAGCGUCUCUGUCUUUCUAGCUUGAGUGCAGAAGACAGCAGGUGUAGUAAGAUGUACUGAGCUGCUGGACAUCCCGCUCGGGGUCAAAAUCCCUUUGUUGCCUGGCUCCCACCCUGUCUUUUGCCAGACCGAGCUGGGGGAAAAGGUGGUUUGCACUCUGUGGGAGUUCAACGAAUACAGGCAGUAUCUGAUGACACUCAAAACAGAGGCUGACAAAAUGUGCCAGCGAGAACAAGUUUCUUGCCAUGACUGUGCAGAGGAUGGAGAAGCUUGAGGCCCUUGAAGAAGAGAAACGCCUCCUCCAGCAGGCUGAGCGAGACCAGAAGUCUUUACGUGAAGAGCUGCAUAGUGAAAUCCGGACUACGCUGAUAGGGACUACAAGGACAGAAGCCCAGGAGCUGGAAGAGGUGGCUGAGAGCAUGCUGGAGGAAGUGCUGGAGAGGGUGAAAGAGCUGGAUUGGUUGGUCCAUGUUUUAAGGAGGGCUCCACUGGCAAUCAGUGGAAGGUUGCUUGCUAGUGCUAGAAGGGCAGAGCCUUCUGAGACGACAUCUCCAGAUCUCCAGGAGGAAAUUGGACUGGUGGCUAGAGAGAUUGUAGCAACCGUUACUGAUGCCUUAGGGAAGCAUUUGGUAUGCAGUGCAUCAGAUGCCUGUGAGCCCAGGCUGUCGGCCGGGCAGAGGGAGCCGUACGUAGCCGCACGAGCCAGGUGAGCUGGCAAACUGGAAGAAAGCAGGCUGAGGGCAGCUGAAUUACCAGGCUAUAACAGCAACUUCUCUGGCGUCUCUUGACAAAAUCGCCAAAGAUGCUGUUGAGAGGGUUGGAUCCACCUUGGAAUCGUUUGUAGCUUUGCAAUUUGAACAUCACUUGCACUGUCAAUUUGCUGAAAUCCUGAAGCUGCCCCUUGAGACUAUUUCUAAGAGACAACUGCAGGCAUGCCGGACACCUUUCUCAACCCGAGCGAUGAAGGAAGUAGAAGCAUCAUGUAGAGCAUCCAAACACUGGACAGCAGAAGCCACAAGGUUGCCCGUGUUGCAACCAUUCCACAAUGUUGCUGCCGUAUCACGAGAGAGUAGCACGCUUGCAAGGCGUAGCAUCCAAAAUGCGAUGUCCCAA